CCUUCUUAAUAUUGCCUCAUGAAUAUUCAUGUUUAAACCAGAACGAGGCUAAGUGAGGAAGCGUCCCUAGUAAUAUACAUGUGCAGCUAUGGCUACAUCAUACAAUGAUAGAGAUUCAGAUUUAAUUACUUCACUUACCUUUUCAUUUGUUUAAAACUAUAUCCAAGCACAAAAACAAAACAAAAAAACCCAAAAAAAUCCUCUGGACAGAAGAGCAUGAAUAAAGGACUGAAGUGUUUAAGCAAGGAAAUAUCCAAGAGCUAAGAGGUGAGUUUCGGUGAUAUCAACACUCUUGAAGUGAGUAAGGCAGAUUGUACCUGUCCUAUUGGAAUGUCAGAAGCAUGUAGUGGGAACUCUGUACCAGCUUGCGAAAUUCAAGAUUAUACGUCAAAGAGCUAUCCCAGUUGAAAUUGCAAAGACAUCUCGGCCACAAACUUGGCAUGUCCCAAGAGGGGAGAAAAUCCAAGGAAAGGCUGUCCAGGAUUUAAAGAUAAGCGGUAUUCAUCACGGAAAUCCGCACUGGACUUGUCUACGACUAACCAAAAUCUGAAAACAACCCCAUUCAACCCCAUUCGUGGAGAAAAUGUUAAAUGGGACACAAAGUAUGGAAGUCUAUCUUCAGUACCACUUGAUUUAUUGAUUCUCCCUUCUUUAACACAAAUGAACUCACCAGCGGUAGAAUCAAAAUUUGGUAAAAUACCACAAGGCUCUCUUUAGGGUGUUCAGCAAAAAUUAGAAAAUGAGUAUGUUUUAAAUAUAUUUGAUGAAAAUCGAACACUCAGAUUUUGUUCUAAUGAUCCUGCACAAAGGCGACAUAAAAAUAAGAAAAGCUCGUCAAUGAGCAACACAGAACGCUUUCUACCACUUAGACUAAUAGUUUCACUACUUUUAUAAUAUGCACUUUGUAUGUUUUUAGCAGUAUACAUAAAAAGGUAA